rnacentral:lncRNA from 1 species
UCAAAAACCUUUUCUGUAUUUUCUUCGUCUUUUGUUAUCGAGCUGUGAGUCAACUAGGUUUGAGCUUUUAGACCGCUAGAACUAGGUAACUCGUUGACAGCCUUUGCGGCCAAAGCUUUUAUGAUCUCUUGUAAUGAUCGCAACGCUCUCACGCGGACUCGAAAUAAGAUCUACUCUUUUCUCUAAACUCGUUUGUUAUCUUUUCAUGAUUUCCGCAUAUAUUUGGUCACUUGCCGUUGGCUCUCACAGAUAUCCGGGACCUCUGGGAAAUUAGGAUUUUCCUAGUUUCCUAAUUUAAACGUAAAUCGACAGUGCGAAUUUUGGUUCCCACAACGAAGAUAUGCAAACAUAAAACUUUUGCAUGCAAUACUAAGUAUUACUAUAUGCUGAGCGACUGAAAUGAGAAGACAACUCAAACUCUUUAUCUCAACGCGUUAACCAUGACCAUAGCGGUGAUUCUAGUAAAAUCCAAAAGUCCAAUAAACAACAUAUAAGGCUAAGAUUGAGACAACCAAAGGACUGACAUAAAAUGUCAUC